GACGAACGCUGGCGGCGCGCUUAACACAUGCAAGUCGAACGGAAAGGCCUGCUUUCCCUUGUGGAUUGCGGGUACUCGAGUGGCGAACGGGUGAGUAACACGUGAGUGAUCUGCCCCCAACUUGGGUAUAAGCCUGGGAAACUGGGUCUAAUUCCCGAUAGGACUGCAGGGUGGUGCCUGUGGUGGAAAACGAUUUUCUAGUGGUUGGGGAUGAGCUCGCGGCCUAUCAGCUUGUUGGUGGGGUAAUGGCCUACCAAGGCGGCGACGGGUAGCCGGCCUGAGAGGGUGGACGGCCACAUUGGGACUGAGAUACGGCCCAGACUCCUACGGGAGGCAGCAGUGGGGAAUAUGGCACAAGGGGCGGAAGCCUGAUGCAGCGACGCCGAGUGGGGGAUGACGGCCUUCGGGUUGUAAACUCCUUUCGACAGCGAGGAAGCCACCUGGUUGGAAGGGUGGUGACGGUAGUGGGAGAAGAAGCACCGGCUAACUACGUG
rnacentral:rRNA from 1 species